rnacentral:rRNA from 1 species
UACGUAGGGUGCAAGCGUUGUCCGGAAUUAUUGGGCGUAAAGAGCUCGUAGGCGGUUUGUCACGUCGGAUGUGAAAACCCGGGGCUUAACUCCGGGCCUGCAUUCGAUACGGGCUGACUAGAGUUCGGCAGGGGAGACUGGAAUUCCUGGUGUAGCGGUGAAAUGCGCAGAUAUCAGGAGGAACACCGGUGGCGAAGGCGGGUCUCUGGGCCGAUACUGACGCUGAGGAGCGAAAGCGUGGGGAGCGAACAGG